rnacentral:lncRNA from 1 species
CUUGAAUCCUGAGGCAGAGGAGGAAUUGCAAAAGCCAGUGGAAACCUUCCAGCCUUCUCUCUGCCAGGUGAGAUGUUUGAUUAUUUUAUUGCUUCUGAGACUUCAUUAAAAUGUGGCUGGAAACUUCCGUGUGUUUCUAAGCUGUUUUUUCAUGGGGCAGAAUAUGCAGAUCUGGGCUGGGAAUGAGGCUGUGCUGGGCAGGAUUGUCCCAGGUGCUGCAAAAGCAGCUCUUUGGUGUCUGGAACCUCUGAAGUAAACCUGACCUUGAUGCUGGUUGUGUCUGAAAGAAGUGCUUCCUUCAAAAUUACCCUGAGAUAUGUCAGGGCUGAAGUUUGGAGCUGUGAAAGACAGCGGGGAUUUACCUGGGGUUGCAGUGGGCUCUGCACUGGUGUUUCUGGCACGGCACCCCGCUCUCAGGCAGAGGAACCAGUGAAGGAGGGGUAGGAGAUGCCUGGUUUCACCUCAGCUCUGCCCCGUCCAGCUGUGGGUGUGGGAGAUGCUGUGGUACCACAGGUGGUCAGGAGCUUCUCCGAGCUGUACAAACCCAGAAUCCCAUUUCUGUGAGAUCACCAGAGAGGUGAUGCCACACCUGAGGUCGGAACUGCCUCGUGCAAUCCCGUGGAGAUGGCCCGCUCGACGGCGGGACAUCAAGGCAGGGCCGAGCGACGGGCGCGUUAAUUAGGAGGCUGAAAUUAUAAUGUUGUGUUAAAGAACAAAGAGUCUCCAAAGGAAAAAUAUGUGCCGCAUAUCUGACAAAGAUAAAUUGGAUUAUUCAAAAUAUUCCUGAUGAAAUGUUACAUUUUGCAACUAAUUAUCAAUCUGUUUUAUCUCUGGACCAGCUGGGCAUUUUUGUGCAUGCAAGACCUGCCUUACCAAUGAUCUUAAGAUGUCACUGUAGCGUUUACAUCUUUUAUUUCAAGAUUUAAAUAACUAGGAAGUAGCUAAUGUAAUUCACUGCUGAGAAGAAAGGCUAGUUAGUUGAAUGCUUUCCAAAGUGAUCUUCUCCUAAUGAACUUCUCUGGACUGUGAGUAAUGAGGCUUUAUUCAAAUAAUGUUUAAGAAAGGUUUUUAUAAUGUAAUUUUUUAAAGAAAGAGCAACAUUUAAUGCAUUUAAAAUAUCUUUAUUAAUCCUAUACUGCCUCAUGUAGCAUUAAAGCAUUGUGAAUAUUUGGUUUUGUUCCUUCUGAAUGUUCCUUUUGUGAUGAACUGGUUGUAGUAGCAACGGAGCUAUAGAAAUUGAGCAAUUAUCUCAUAAAUGUUCAGUGAUAUCUUACAAAUUACAGUCUGACAUGAUUACAGAGCCAUUUUGCUGUAAAAGCAUUUGUUGUUUAAGUAUAUUUAUAUACCACAGUGGUCUGUAUUUCCCCUGGUCCCUACUCCUACGUG